rnacentral:misc_RNA from 1 species
UUUCCGUAGGUGAACCUGCGGAAGGAUCAUUCAUAAUAAAGUGUUUUAUGGCACUUUUUAAAAAUCCAUAUCCACCUUGUGUGCAAUGUUAGAUCUCGUCAAUCUUGGCGAGAUUUUUAUACAUCAACUCAUUCUUUAACUAAUAUGUCUGAAAAAUAUUAUGAAUACUUAAAUCAAAAUACAACUUUCAACAACGGAUCUCUUGGCUCUC